rnacentral:rRNA from 1 species
GUGAACGCUGGCGGUAGGCCUAACACAUGCAAGUCGAACGGCAGCACAGUAAGAGCUUGCUCUUACGGGUGGCGAGUGGCGGACGUGUGAGGAAUACAUCGGAAUCUACUUUUUCGUGGGGGAUAACGUAGGGAAACUUACGCUAAUACCGCAUACGACCUACGGGUGAAAGCAGGGGAUCUUCGGACCUUGCGCGAUUGAAUGAGCCGAUGUCGGAUUAGCUAGUUGGCGGGGUAAAGGCCCACCAAGGCGACGAUCCGUAGCUGGUCUGAGAGGAUGAUCAGCCACACUGGAAGUGAGACACGGUCCAGACUCCUACGGGAGGCAGCAGUGGGGAAUAUUGGACAAUGGGCGCAAGCCUGAUCCAGCCAUACCGCGUGGGUGAAGAAGGCCUUCGGGUUGUAAAGCCCUUUUGUUGGGAAAGAAAAGCAGCAGGUUAAUACCCCGCUGUUCUGACGGUACCCAAAGAAUAAGCACCGGCUAACUUCGUG